rnacentral:rRNA from 1 species
GGAAUAUUGGACAAUGGGCGAAAGCCUGAUCCAGCAACGCCGCGUGGAGGAUGAAGGCCUUCGGGUUGUAAACUCCUGUCAGGUGGGACGAACAGGCUUCGGCGAAUACCCGGAGCCUCUGACGGUACCACCAGAGGCAGCCCCGGCUAACUCCGUGCCAGCAGCCGCGGUAAUACGGAGGGGGCAAGCGUUAUUCGGAAUUAGUGGGCGUAAAUGGCGCGUAGGCGGUCUGGUAAGUCAGGGGUGAAAUCCCUCGGCUCAACCGAGGAAUUGCCCUUGAAACUGCCAGACUCGAGGCCGGGAGAGGGUGGUGGAAUUCCAAGUGUAGCGGUGAAAUGCGUAGAUAUUUGGAGGAACACCAGUGGCGAAGGCGGCCACCUGGACCGGUUCUGACGCUGAGGCGCGAAAGCGUGGGGAGCAAAC